GUGGGGAAUAUUGGACAAUGGGCGCAAGCCUGAUCCAGCCAUGCCGCGUGAACGAUGAAGGCCUUCGGGUUGUAAAGUUCUUUAGCCGAUGAUUAUAAUGACUGUAGUCGGAAAAUAAGCCCCGGCUAACUUCGUGCCAGCAGCCGCGGUAAUACGAAGGGGGCGAGCGUUAUUCGGAAUCACUGGGCGUAAAGCGUGCGUAGGCGGUUUUGUAAGUUAGGAGUGAAAGCCCAGGGCUCAACCUUGGAAUUGCUCUUAAAACUGCAAGGCUCGAAUCUCGGAGAGGAUAGCGGAAUUGUCAGUGUAGCAGUGAAAUGCGUAGAUAUUGACAGGAACACCAGUGGCGUAAGCGGCUAUCUGGACCGAUAUUGACGCUGAGGCACGAAAGCGUGGGGAUCAAACAGGAUUAGAAACCCGUGUAGUCC
rnacentral:rRNA from 1 species